GGGCCCGUAGUUUAGUGGUAAAACGACCGCUUUGCAUGCGGUAGCCGGGAGUUCGAUUCUCCCCGGGUCCA
rnacentral:tRNA from 7 species